GGGUUGUGAGGUUAAGCGACUAAGCGUACACGGUGGAUGCCCUGGCAGUCAGAGGCGAUGAAGGACGUGCUAAUCUGCGAUAAGCGCCGGUAAGGUGAUAUGAACCGUUAUAACCGGCGAUUUCCGAAUGGGGAAACCCAGUGUGAUUCGUCACACUAUCAUUAACUGAAUCCAUAGGUUAAUGAGGCGAACCGGGGGAACUGAAACAUCUAAGUACCCCGAGGAAAAGAAAUCAACCGAGAUUCCCCCAGUAGCGGCGAGCGAACGGGGAGGAGCCCAGAGCCUGAAUCAGCAUGUGUGUUAGUGGAAGCGUCUGGAAAGACGCGCGAUACAGGGUGACAGCCCCGUACACAAAAGCGCAUGUGCUGUGAGCUCGAUGAGUAGGGCGGGACACGUGGUAUCCUGUCUGAAUAUGGGGGGACCAUCCUCCAAGGCUAAAUACUCCUGACUGACCGAUAGUGAACCAGUACCGUGAGGGAAAGGCGAAAAGAACCCCGGCGAGGGGAGUGAAAAAGAACCUGAAACCGUGUACGUACAAGCAGUGGGAGCCCCACCACUAAGCCAGUGGUGAACUCCACAUACGCAUCCUUUGCUGAGGAUACGGUUAACGGAGCGAAAGCGACGUUCAACCUCAAAAGAAGCAGAGGGGGCUUAGUGGUGGGGUGACUGCGUACCUUUUGUAUAAUGGGUCAGCGACUUAUAUUCUGUAGCAAGGUUAACCGAAUAGGGGAGCCGGAGGGAAACCGAGUCUUAACCGGGCGUUAAGUUGCAGGGUAUAGACCCGAAACCCGGUGAUCUAGCCAUGGGCAGGUUGAAGGUUGGGUAACACUAACUGGAGGACCGAACCGACUAAUGUUGAAAAAUUAGCGGAUGACCUGUGGCUGGGGGUGAAAGGCCAAUCAAACCGGGAGAUAGCUGGUUCUCCCCGAAAGCUAUUUAGGUAGCGCCUCGUGAACUCAUCUCCGGGGGUAGAGCACUGUUUCGGCUAGGGGGCCAUCCCGGCUUACCAACCCGAUGCAAACUGCGAAUACCGGAGAAUGUUAUCACGGGAGACACACGGCGGGUGCUAACGUCCGUCGUGAAGAGGGAAACAACCCAGACCGCCAGCUAAGGUCCCAAAGUCAUGGUUAAGUGGGAAACGAUGUGGGAAGGCCCAGACAGCCAGGAUGUUGGCUUAGAAGCAGCCAUCAUUUAAAGAAAGCGUAAUAGCUCACUGGUCGAGUCGGCCUGCGCGGAAGAUGUAACGGGGCUAAACCAUGCACCGAAGCUGCGGCAGCGAACGUAUCACCCAAGACAACUUUACGGAGUUGACGAUUGACGGAGCGAAGCGACGUCAAAGCGUUCAUUAAAGUCGAGUUGGCUUAGGGAUACGUUCGUUGGGUAGGGGAGCGUUCUGUAAGCCUGUGAAGGUGGCCUGUGAGGGUUGCUGGAGGUAUCAGAAGUGCGAAUGCUGACAUAAGUAACGAUAAUGCGGGUGAAAAACCCGCACGCCGGAAGACCAAGGGUUCCUGUCCAACGUUAAUCGGGGCAGGGUGAGUCGACCCCUAAGGCGAGGCCGAAAGGCGUAGUCGAUGGGAAACAGGUUAAUAUUCCUGUACUUGGUGUUACUGCGAAGGGGGGACGGAGAAGGCUAUGUUAGCCGGGCGACGGUUGUCCCGGUUUAAGCAUGUAGGCGGAGGUUCCAGGUAAAUCCGGUACCUUAUUAACGCUGAGGUGUGAUGACGAGGCACUACGGUGCUGAAGUAACAAAUGCCCUGCUUCCAGGAAAAGCCUCUAAGCAUCAGGUAACAUCAAAUCGUACCCCAAACCGACACAGGUGGUCAGGUAGAGAAUACCAAGGCGCUUGA
rnacentral:rRNA from 1 species